ACUGCUCAGUAACACGUGGACAACCUGCCCUGAGGACUGGAAUAAUCCCGGGAAACUGGGAGUAAUUCCAGAUAUGCCAGGGAACCUGGAAUGGUUUCUGGCAGAAAUGCUCCGGCGCCUCAGGAUGGGUCUGCGGCCUAUCAGGGUAGUAGUGGGUGUAACGUACCCACUAGCCUACGACGGGUACGGGUUGUGAGAGCAAGAGCCCGGAGAUGGAUUCUGAGACAUGAAUCCAGGCCCUACGGGGUGUAGCAGGCGCGAAAACUUUACAAUGCGGGCAACCGCGAUAAGGGGACCUCGAGUGCUGGGUUACAAACCUGGCUGUUGGGCUGCCUAAAAAGCAGUCUAUAGCAAGGGCCGGGCAAGACCGGUGCCAGCCGCCGCGGUAACACCGGCGGCUCGAGUGGUAACCGCUGUUAUUGGGUCUAAAGGGUCUGUAGCCUGCCGGCUAAGUCUCUUGGGAAAUCUGGCAUCUCGAGUGUCAGGCUGCCAGGGGAUACUGGUCAGCUUGGGACCGGGAGAGGUGAGAGGUACCUCAGGGGUAGGGGUGAAAUCUUGUAAUCCUUGAGGGACCACCAGUGGCGAAGGCGUCUCACCAGAACGGAUCCGACGGCAAGGGACGAAAGCUAGGGGCACGAACCGGAUUAGAUACCCGGGUAGUCCUAGCCGUAAACGAUACUCGCUAGGUGUCGGCCACGGUGCGACCGUGGUCGGUGCCGUAGGGAAGCCGUGAAGCGAGCCACCUGGGAAGUACGGCCGCAAGGCUGAAACUUAAAGGAAUUGGCGGGGGAGCAC
rnacentral:rRNA from 1 species